rnacentral:rRNA from 1 species
UACGUAGGGAGCAAGCGUUGUCCGGAAUCAUUGGGCGUAAAGCGCGCGUAGGUGGCCACAUAAGUCCGUUGUGAAAGUCAAAGGCUCAACCUUUGAAAGCCGAUGGAUACUGUGUGGCUAGAGUACGGAAGAGGCGAGUGGAAUUCCGAGUGUAGAGGUGAAAUUCGUAGAUAUUCGGAGGAACACCAGUGGCGAAGGCGGCUCACUGGUCCAUUACUGACGCUGAGGUGCGAAAGCGUGGGGAGCAAACAGG